AACGUUCUUCAAGCUCUUUCAUUGUCACUAAUCAGAUGAGCAGAUUGUGCACAUGCUUACUUUUAGCGGCUGUAGCUCACUUACUAACGGUUGGUGUGUUUGGCUCACUGUUUCAAAAGUUCUCUUUCUUUUUUGACACACCUCGUUUCUCGUUUAUAUAUUCUGGAAUAUUAAAUGGUUGUAUAGAUAUCUUUAACUGUCCAGUUGAGUAGGUCUGUCUGAAUGUCAGUGUUCUCAAUAAAAGAGCUUCCAGCGCCAAAUGUUUAAUUUCAUUGACGACCCUGCUUUUGGAUUUGGACUUAAGCGUUGUUACAACUUUGACAAGAUUUUAUUCUACAGGUAAUGUUUUCAAGGUUAUGUCUGUGUGGAUCUUUAUGCCAUACACAUUUCACCUCAAUUUACUGAAGUAUAUUCGGUGGACUGUAAGGGUUGUUUCAAAGUAAUAGGAACUUAUCAGGUGUCUGGAUUUCUUGUGCCAAAGGUAGAUUCUCAAACACGAUGUAAAGGAGCAGAGUGCAUAAAAUUUACUUGUUGUCAGAUGCUGAUAUGCCAGAAAUAUCUGCCAUGUUAGUACAUGCUAAAAAGGAAGUAAAUUCAUCAAGUUGCAUCCAGAAGCAAAAAAUUUUAAGCUAAGCCAAAGGCAAAUACAUUCAUGCACACAAUUUCACACACAUCCAGCAGUUGUGACUUAGAUAAUCUUCCAUCAUACUCAUAAGAUAUGAACUGCAGUGGCCUCGCCAUUUUUUAGCUCAAAAUAUUUUAUGUUAAAGAAAAAUUCAGUCAAGAAAAGUAAUAAUUUCUGCGACUGAAAUAUUGGGCAAUACUUAAUUUAGGCUGGUGAAAUGUGUAGUUCUACUGACAGCCAUAAAACUUAGACACUUCGUAGCUUUCAGAAAUAAUAGUCACUUUCUCGGGGAGGGGAUAUGUUGUAGAAGAAUAUAAAGCCAGGGCAGCAUAUUGAGACCCCAGGAUGAGAGAGAGAGAGAGAGAGAGAGGGAGAGAGGGAUAUAGAAAUCCACCUUAAGUGAGGACAAGGGUAGACAAAAAGAUGAAGGGGGAGGCAUUUUAUCCAAACUUGUCCUUAUAUCAAAUAAUCGAUGGACACUCUUCGUUAUUCAGUGCUACUAAGCAGCCCAAAAAUCUGCAAUGAAAGGGAGCAUAUAAAAUUAGUACGUUUGAGGAUCUUUUUCUAUCUGAUUUGCAGAGGAAAGAGAAAACUGAAAAUUUACUUGUAUCUUCUGUUUAAAAGAGGACCUGAAAGUUUGCCUGAGAACACAUACCUCAGCAGUAAUUCAACUCUGCGGCCACAAAAACACAGAAAAUAUGUUUUUGAAGAAUGAAUUGGCAUCUCAACACAUGGAGAUGGGUGACAUAAAAUUGCUUACUUAAAGUAUAAGUGAACCGCUCUCCAUUUUUUUUUCAGUGCAACAUUUUAUAUAGCAAACUAAAUAACGUUCUUAUCUUCUUUGGCAUCAUGCAACUCCUGUACCUACUUUUAUACCGCCACAGCCUGACACGAGUGCUGGUAUUCUUGUUACUUGCAACAUCAGAAAUCAAUUUAUUAAUGAAAAUCAUUGCUUAUUUGUUUAUGCUUUUCUUAUAAAUUUCUUUCUGGAAGUACGAGGGUUAUCCCAAAAGUAAGAAAUGCAUCGACAAAAAUGGUGAUUAUGUUGAAAAAUAGCUAAAUGUUCAAGCUGUAAACUGAUGUAAACCAUUGUAGAAAUACACAGGUCUAUGUACUUAUAAAAAAAAUAGGAGACCUUACUUUUGGGAUUACCCUCGUAGCUGUGUGAAUUUUCUUCUGUUUUAGCACAUGUUAUCAUUGCAGACAUUUACUUGGGGACUUGCUGGAAGAUAAAUCUUACUCACUGUGUUCAUUUUUAUUUGGUCAGAGAGACCACCAGUUUGCAGUGUAAGAAUUUUAGGACACCUGUAAAUGCAUUUCAUUAUUGAAUGUCUUUCUCUUAUGAUGAUUUCUAGAACACAUUCUUUUGAUGCACUUAACGUAGGGAAUUUGGAAGAUAUUUUGACAUCAUUAUGAAAAGGUUGGAGGUAUUUUAAUGAUUCCUUGUGUAGUGUAUUGAGUACAGGAGCUGCUGAGAUGACACUACAGACCAAUGAAAGUAUUUUGUAUGUCCAUCCUUUUAGCAGGAGGUCUAUGGGACGACAGCUGUUUACCAUUGUGACAAAAAAUAAAACACCUACAGCCAUUCUUAUUUUAUUUUGUUGCUACCAGUUUCAACGCUUCAUUGCAUCAUCAGUUGCCAGCAUUACUGGAUACGCAGAUAAUUUGUCAGCACUCCAACCAUCAAGUGCAGUUGUGUGAAAAAAUAUGCUGCAGUUGAUGGUUGGAGUGCUGACAAAUUAUCUGCGUAUCCAGUAAUGCUGGCAACUGAUGGGUUAUGCAUGGGGAUCAUAUCAACAUGUACCGCAUCAAACCAGCCGGAAGGUGACGCAUUGAAGCAUUGAAACUGGUAGCGACAAAAUAAAAUAAGGGCGGCCAUAGGUGUUUUUAUUUUUUGUUACAUUGAAAGUAUGGUUACCUGCAGCUGGGCUGCCUCAUUUGUCUGAUUUAAGUGUGCCAGAUGUCUUCCUCCAGACUUAAGAAGAGUGUGGUUUAUGAAAUCCAAGAAGAGUUAUUACAGUUCUCAGUUGGCAGAAUACAAGCAGCACAUGAAAACUUUUAUGCUGAGUCAGGCGUCUGUUAGCUGUGUACAGCUGUAUGGCAAUUUUGGAGACAUUGAAAAUUAUUUUAUCAGCUUUUGGGGUUUUUCCAGUGUAUAACUAUUUUUUAAUGUUCUCAGAUAUUCAGGUUGGUGCCACAGAGCUAACGGUGCAGUGCUUUGGGGAGCUGAGUUGGUGCUGUCUCCAGGUUGAUCUGAUGCGCCCUUCCCUCCUGCAGUCAAUAUUGCACCUGUGGUACUUGGACAUGACUUCACUGCCGAGGGUGAAGGGAAGGGUGCAGUCAGGACGCGGGCUGCGGCCCUUGGGCUGACUGUGUCAGUCAUGGAGUUUGCAUCAGCAGCGACACAUUCUCCCGGCGACUGCCUCAGUUCCUCUGAGAUGCAGUUCGACCCUGCAGAAAUUCACAAGACACUGAACAAAAUCGUAGACUACCAAACUCACCACCACUUGUGUGAAGCUUGAGGCUGCAACCAAGUAGAAGAACUGAAUGAACACAUUAAUUUCGUAAGCAGUUACCAUUGGCCAAGUGUUUAUACUUGAAGAACUUCUCCACAGAGAAGAAGCCAUCUCAGAUGUUGCUUAACCACAAGUAAUUGCCAUACAGAACAAUUGUGGCACCUGUUAAGCAACUGGAAAAAGUGUCCUUUGUUUGCUUGCACUGGACAUUUGAAAAGGGAGUUAUAUGCAUCCCAUUUCGUAAUGCUGGGUGUGGAUUGGCACAAAGUCUAAAUCACAAUUAACUAUUUUGUUGUUAAGAAUUUGUUGUUGCUGAGACCGGUGUGAUCGGUAGCUUGGUGAAAAAGCAGACAAAAAGAAAAAAAAAAAAAAGAAUGGGAAACUGUAUAGAAACAUAUUAACUUAUCAGAAU